rnacentral:rRNA from 1 species
GGACUACCAGGGUUUCUAAUCCUGUUUGCUCCCCUUGCUCUCGCGCCUCAGCGUCAGGUAUAAGCUAGAAAACCGCUUUCGCCACCGGUGUUCUUCCACAUAUCUACGCAUUUCACCGCUACACGUGGAAUUCCGUUUUCUCCGCCAAUCCUCCAGUUUAGUAGUUUCAAAUGCAGCUCCGAAGUUGAGCUUCGGAAUUUCACAUCUGACUUACUUAACCGCCUACGCGCCCUUUACGCCCAAUAAUUCCGAUUAAUGCUUGCACCCUCCGUAUUACCGCGGCUGCUGGCAC